rnacentral:rRNA from 1 species
CAAACGCUGGCGGCGUGCCUAACACAUGCAAGUCGUACGAGAAAGUUGGCUUCGGCCAAUGAGUAAAGUGGCGCACGGGUGAGUAGCGCGUGGAUAAUCUGCCCUUCAGCGGGGAAUAACCCAUCGAAAGGUGGGCUAAUACCCCAUAAAACUGUUUAGCAUAUGUUAGACAGUCAAAGAGAGCCUCUGCUUGCAAGCUUUUACUGAAUGUUGAGUCCGCGUACCAUUAGCUAGUUGGUAGGGUAAUGGCCUACCAAGGCGACGAUGGUUAGCUGGUCUGAGAGGAUGAUCAGCCACACUGGAACUGAGACACGGUCCAGACUCCUACGGGAGGCAGCAGUGAGGAAUCUUGCGCAAUGGGGGAAACCCUGACGCAGCAACGCCGCGUGAGUGAGGGAAAAGGCCUUCGGGUCGUAAAGCUCUGUCAGGUGGGAAGAAAUGUAUGGGGGUGAAUAGCCACCAUGCUUGACGGUACCGCCAGAGGAAGCACCGGCUAACUCCGUGCCAGCAGCCGC